rnacentral:lncRNA from 1 species
AUACAUACAUCAAGAUGUUUUUUCUGGUCAAAUACUCUUUGAGGUUCAAUGAUACAUCACAUGAAUGUAACAUGGGCAAAUUCAGAAAGAAAAAAUAUCAGGACACUCUAUUUUGACAUGUCUCCUUGUGUCCUCCAUUGUGCUUUUAAGGACCAAAGUUUUACCCACGAAGGCAAAUGUAUCCUCUCUGAAUGUUGGUCUUGUAUUCCUGGAACACGUUUUAAAAAAAUGAGCACGAGAAAUGAUGGAUGACAAAUUUAUAGAUGCAUAAAUACCAAGCAAAGAGAUAUUUUUCAAGAUACUGAAAACAUCAUGCAAACAGCGAAUGAAUUUAACAGAUAAAUUUCCCAGAAAAAAAACCCGAUAAACUUGCAGAACAGCUAAAGGAUCAUGUAGCAAUUGAAUAAUAAAAGUCAGUGUGUCCCUGACAAACCUGUCUUAGUUUCUUUAGACUAGGUAACUGGGGCUGAGGUAGGCAGCCACAACAAAAA